rnacentral:rRNA from 1 species
GACGAACGCUGGCGGCGUGCUUAACACAUGCAAGUCGAACGGAAAGGCCCUGCUUUUGUGGGGUGCUCGAGUGGCGAACGGGUGAGUAACACGUGAGUAACCUGCCCUUGACUUUGGGAUAACUUCAGGAAACUGGGGCUAAUACCGGAUAGGAGCUCCUGCUGCAUGGUGGGGGUUGGAAAGUUUCGGCGGUUGGGGAUGGACUCGCGGCUUAUCAGCUUGUUGGUGGGGUAGUGGCUUACCAAGGCUUUGACGGGUAGCCGGCCUGAGAGGGUGACCGGCGACAUUGGGACUGAGAUACGGCCCAGACUCCUACGGGAGGCAGCAGUGGGGAAUAUUGCACAAUGGGCGGAAGCCUGAUGCAGCAACGCCGCGGGCGGGAUGACGGCCUUCGGGUUGUAAACCGCUUUCGCCUGUGACGAAGCGUGAGUGACGGUAAUGGGUAAAGAAGCACCGGCUAACUACGUG